rnacentral:rRNA from 1 species
CAGUCGCCGCGGUAAAACGUAGGGUGCAAGCGUUAAUCGGAAUUACUGAGCGUAAAGCGUGCGCAGGCGGUUAUAUAAGACAGAUGUGAAAUCCCCGGGCUCAACCUGGGAACUGCAUUUGUGACUGUAUAGCUAGAGUACGGCAGAGGGGGAUGGAAUUCCGCGUGUAGCAGUGAAAUGCGUAGAUAUGCGGAGGAACACCGAUGGCGAAGGCAAUCCCCUGGGCCUGUACUGACGCUCAUGCACGAAAGCGUGGGGAGCAAACAGGAUUAGAUACCCCCGUAGUCCCUGUCUCUUAUAC